AGCAGCCGCGGUAAUUCCAGCUCCAAUAGCGUAUAUUAAAGUUGUUGCAGUUAAAAAGCUCGUAGUUGAAUUUCGGGAUUGACACAUCGGUCGUGCCUUAAGGGGUAUGAACUGGUGUAGUCAAUUUCUCACCUUCUGGAGAACCGCGAUGCCCUUAAUUGGGUGUCACGGGGAACCAGGACCUUUACUUUGAAAAAAUUUAGAGUGUUUAAAGCAGGCAUUUUGCUUGAAUACAUUAGCAUGGAAUAAUAAAAUAGGACGGCAUGAUUCUAUUUUGUUGGUUUCUAGGAUCACCGUAAUGAUUAAUAGGGAUAGUUGGGGGGCAUUAGUAUUCAAUUGUCAGAGGUGAAAUUCUUGGAUUUAUUGAAGACUAACUACUGCGAAAGCAUUUGCCAAGGAUGUUUUCAUUAAUCAAGAACGAAAGUUAGGGGAUCGAAGACGAUCAGAUACCGUCGUAGUCUUAACCAUAAACUAUGCCGACUAGGAAUCAGACGAUGUUAAUUUUUUUAAUGACUCGUUU
rnacentral:rRNA from 1 species